AUGAACGCUAGCUACAGGCUUAACACAUGCAAGUCGAGGGCAGCGGAUUGAAGCUUGCUUCAAUUGCCGGCGACCGGCGCACGGGUGAGUAACGCGUAUCCAACCUUCCGUACACUCAGGGAUAGCCUUUCGAAAGAAAGAUUAAUACCUGAUGGUAUGAUGAGAUUGCAUGAUAGCAUCAUUAAAGAUUUAUCGGUGUACGAUGGGGAUGCGUUCCAUUAGGUAGUAGGCGGGGUAACGGCCCACCUAGCCAACGAUGGAUAGGGGUUCUGAGAGGAAGGUCCCCCACAUUGGAACUGAGACACGGUCCAAACUCCUACGGGAGGCAGCAGUGAGGAAUAUUGGUCAAUGGACGAGAGUCUGAACCAGCCAAGUAGCGUGAAGGAUGAAGGUCCUACGGAUUGUAAACUUCUUUUAUAAGGGAAUAAACCCUCCCACGUGUGGGAGCUUGUAUGUACCUUAUGAAUAAGCAUCGGCUAACUCCGUG
rnacentral:rRNA from 1 species